rnacentral:rRNA from 1 species
AUGCUUUCUCAGAAUAUCGUCGUUGAUGUCGAGUAUACCAGGGAAGACAAACCUCCGCAAAUUGCUGCAGUUCUGCAGUUAUGCAUGGAGGAUCUCGUCCUGGUAUACCACAUCACCGCGGCAACCAAAUGGCCCAAGGAACUCCGCCUGCUCCUGCAGGAGAAGAAGAUGUACACCUUUGUUGGCUUCUGCAUUAGAGGCGACAAGGAGAAGCUGAAGUUGUCUGGUUUGGAGAUCAACCCCGACAAGUACGUCGACUUGCAGCGCAAAUGGAGAGUUCCAAACAAUGGAAAGAAGUGGCAGUCUUUGGCUGAGUUUGCAGCCAGCCUCAUCCACCCAUCCUACUAA